rnacentral:lncRNA from 1 species
GUCUUCGAUUAUGCGCCACGGUGCUUCAAAUCCGUUUCCAGGAUUUUACGACGUCGCCUCGGCCCUCCAGGCGAAAACGAAGCCUAAACGUCCGUUUCUUUAAUAAUUUCGCACCGGCUCGACGAAUCGCCGAACCGACUUCGCCAACGCGUUCGUUUACCUAGCAAUUAGGUUUACGGAGGGUCAAAUUAGACUAAACCCUUAUAUUUUACAAAACCCCAUUCGGAGCCCUAAUAUGCAAUUAACCUCAAAAUAAUACAAAUUAAAUGGAUCAACAUACUAACAAAGCUCAUUAGAGGCUAUUAUAACACUAAGCAUUAAGGAUUAAGCCAAAUCCUAAAAGCUUACCUCAAUGUGAACUCCACGACGAGAACACGCCGCUCCAACAGCCACGCAAAAGCUCGAUCCGUCGCUCCCAAUGCGUUCACAAGCAUCAUCUCCACCAACCCCGCGAAUUUGAGCGAGAAAUAUAGAGAGAUGAGAGAGAAAUCUAGAGAGAGAAAGGAGCUUUCUCUCUCUCUCUAACCAUGCGCACGAGAGGGUGGUGGGGUGCUGGUCGGUUGGGGAAGAAGAAGCAACACCUUCUUUAUAAUACACCCCAAAACACUAUUCACUUCAGGCAGUUUUUACAGUUCGGAACAGUUUGAGCCUUUCUGAAUGUCCGUUUGAGCUCAAAUUUGACAGGGAAGCUCAGUUUAACGUACUGAGUAAGAAUAUAUUUUAAGUUUUCAGUUUCGACUCCAUUUGGUCACCGAAAACUGUACCGAACUAUAAUUUUUAUCAGAUAGUUGUCGGAUUUUAUUUCUUACUCUACGGGUGUCAAAAAAAUAUGAAACUUUAAAUCUAGUCUCAUAAAAAUAUUUCUGACUUAUUCUCCAAUUUUCAUAAUUUUCUGAGACUGUGCAUUUUCUGCCUAUUUAUCUGUCCCGUUUCCAACAGAAAAUUCUAGAUCUUCUGUUUUCAUUUCGAUUUCAGCACAAGUCACUUCUGACUUAUGUUUUACUCCUCUAAAUCCAAUAAAAAUAAUAUUUCGCACUAUUUUUAUUUAUUUUUAUUUUUAUAUUUAAAAUCCGGUAUAUUACAUUCCACCGCAACCUCACCGGAAUCAUUCAAAUGGCUUUCAAACCAAAUGUACACCGUAACUUUAUAAUUUUAGAAGUCCAGUAUCUUAUACGUUUGUUUCUGAAUCUCUCCCUGUGUGGAUUGUAGACUCAGGAGCAACAGACCACGUAGCAAGGGAUCGGAGGGGAUUCGUCGAGUAUCGUCGUGUGCCUGCUGGGAGCAGAAGAGUAUACAUGGGGAACGAUUCAAAUGUCGGUGUGUUAGGCGUUGG